rnacentral:rRNA from 1 species
CCCUUAGAUGUUCUGGGCCGCACGCGCGCUACACUGAUUCAUGCAACAAGUUUUGUCCUUGGCUGAUAGGCCUGGGUAAUCUUUGAACGUGAAUCGUGAUGGGGAUAGAUGAUUGCAAUUAUUCAUCUUCAACGAGGAAUUCCUAGUAAACGCAAGUCAUCAGCUUGCAUUGAUUACGUCCCUGCCCUUUGUACACACCGCCCGUCGCACCUACCGAUUGAAUGGUCCGGUGAAAUCUUCGGAUCUGAGAGAUGUCUGAUUAAUUUCGGACGCCUUUUGGAAAAGUUGCUUAAACCUUACCAUUUAGAGGAAGGUGAAGUUGUAACA